GAGGCGCGCGCGCUCCCGGGCGGCCGCGGCACCACGUCGCCGGAGUGACCCGGCUCGACGCGCGGCGCGUCCGUCUCCACCGCCCGCUGCGGCAGACGCCGUCCGGGGGACGCGGGGGGACGGCUGGGUGAGUGCGGAGCCCGCGAGCCGCUCGCCCCUCGCCCCUCGGACGAGCCCCUCCUCCACCGCGGGACGGGGCUGCAGCGGAAGGCGCCGGGCCCCUGAGCCGGAGCGGAAAGGGGGCGCAGACUUCGCGGGGAGCAAAGGGAAAGAGGAAGGAAGCAUAAAUUCUGAGAGAAACAGCAGCAGUCUCUGACAGCGUGGGCCGUACGAUUGGUUGUGUGCUUUGUCCUCUGAAAGGCUUCCAGCCCCACCAAAGGCUUUCUACUUCUGGAUUUCAAGACUACUAUGUGAAUAAAUGUGAGUUGGACUCUGAAAGCCAUCUAGGUACUGAGACAUUUGAGCAUCUGCUGUGUUCCAGGAACUGUGCAUACAAUGAUGAGUGGAAGAAAAACAGAUUCUGCUCUCCUCGAGCCUGGCCCAAUAAUCAAACAGUCAUGGAAGAUGGAUGGAAAAUAAAAGGAAAGUUGUUAAUUACAAUAUUUGUAAUUUCCUUCACUCUUUCAACCUUCAAAGAGAAUUCUGCCUUUGUCUUCUAAGCUUUUCUGAUCUCACUCCCUCUGCAUGAUGCCAACAAGAAUUUUUUCUUUGUCAGCUGAGUUCCUGAGCUGUCGUGAUGCCAAAUCUAA